AUAUGCAAAAUAGGCAAAUUUAAAUUGUUAACAUUAUUUCAACUUACGAGGGGAUUGAAAAUCCCCGUGUCGGUGGUUCGAUUCCGCCUCCGGGCACCA
rnacentral:tRNA from 1 species